GAAUUCUCUGUGGAGGUGUGGCCUGGUCAUAGCACACGGAAGAAACCAAGUGCGUUUCCGUGUUUACGACUUUCUUUCCAGCAAUUUUUCUUCUGAAAGUUACUUUUAAAACAAGAAGAUGGGCGCUUGUAUGGCAUUGUGUUCGCUGGCCAGCUGUGCCUCGUGUCUGUGUGGCUCCGCCCCCUGCCUCCUGUCCGGCUGCUGCCCGUCCACCAACAACUCCACGGUGACGCGACUGGUCUUCUCCCUCUUCCUGCUCCUGGGCACCGCCGUGUCCAUCAUAAUGAUCCUGCCCGGCAUGGAGACGCAACUGAACAAGAUACCGGGCUUUUGCAAGGGCGGCACCUCCAUAUGGGUGAUCGAGAACAAGGUGAACUGUGACAUCAUCGUGGGCUACAAGUCCGUCUACCGCAUGUGCUUCGCCCUGGCCUGCUUCUUCUUCCUGUUCUGCCUCCUCAUGAUCCGAGUGCGCAGUAGCAAGGACCCCCGCGCCCACAUCCAGAACGGGUUCUGGUUCUUCAAGUUCAUGAUUCUGGUGGGAAUUACAGUCGGGGCCUUCUUUAUCCCUGAUGGGAUCUUCAACACAGUGUGGUUCUACUUUGGUAUGGUGGGCUCCUUCAUCUUCAUCCUCAUCCAGCUCAUCCUCCUCGUUGACUUUGCCCACUCCUGGAACGAGGCCUGGGUAGGAAGAGCUGAGGAGGGCAACAGGAAGUGCUGGUUUGCAGGCUUGCUCUUCUUCACCAUUCUCAACUAUGCCCUGGCGUUUGUUGCCAUGGUGCUGUUCUACCUGUUUUACACCCAAGCCGACGACUGCACCGAGCACAAGGUCUUCAUCAGCCUGAACCUCAUCUUCUGCGUCGUCGUCUCCGUCAUCUCCAUCCUGCCCAAAGUGCAGGAAGCUCAGCCACAGUCUGGCUUGUUGCAGUCCUCCCUCAUUAGUCUGUACACCAUGUACGUCACCUGGUCUGCCAUGUCCAACAACCCUAAUCGGAAGUGCAACCCCAGCCUUCUCAGCUUAGUGUUCAACUCCAGCAGCACCACCCCGGCCCCUACCGUUGCCCCGGGAGAGAUUCAGUGGUGGGAUGCGCAAGGCAUUGUGGGAUUGAUCAUCUUCCUUUUCUGCACCCUCUACGCCAGCAUCCGCUCGUCCAACAACGCCCAGGUGAACAGACUGAUGCAGACGGAGGAGAGCCAGGGGCUGACGGCCGUGGAGGCGGGGCCGUCGGAGGACGGGGUGCGGCGCGCCGUGGACAACGAGGAGGACGGCGUCACCUACAGCUACUCCUUCUUCCACUUCUGCCUCUUCCUGGCCUCCCUCUACAUCAUGAUGACCCUCACAAACUGGUACCAUCCGGACGCGGAGUACCAGGCGAUGCAGAGCUGCAUGCCGGCGGUGUGGGUGAAGAUCUCCUCCAGCUGGUUAGGCCUGCUGAUCUACCUCUGGACCCUGCUGGCCCCGCUCAUCCUGCCAGACCGAGACUUCAGCUAAGCACGCACCGUGUGUGUGUGUGUGUGUGUGUGUGUGUGUGUGUGUGUGUGUGUGUGUGUGUGUGUGUGUGUGU